GCGUGGAGGGGGCCGCCCGCGUGGGGUCGGCUGCGGCCCGGCAGAGUUGGCGCGCGAGGGUGUGGAAGCCGAGACGUGAUCCUGCCGACCGCACCGCGGACGCGUGCGGGACGCUGUCCCCUGUCUACUCCGCGCUCCCAGGUGCCUGUGAUGAAUGACACAUCGAUCAACCCAUAGUCUUCAGACAUUGCCGUGUGAAGCCAAUGAAAGAUAUCUGCUGGUAACCAAAUGAUGAUCUUAUGAAAAGACCGCGGGGACUAUGAGCUAUCCUGGGGUUCCACGUGCCAGAGACAUGAAGAAAGCAGAGCGGUCCCAGAGAAAAGUGACCGUGGAGGAGGAGCUUCCGCCAGAAGCGAGGGAAUAGGCUUCUAGCUGUUGAGAUCUAGAGAAGCAGCGGCCGGAGUUAACGGCAGAGCAAAUGGACCCAGUGCACCCUUGUGAGCUGACAAACGGCAGCCUUGAGCUCUUGAGUGAAACAUGAUGGCAUUUCCUGAAUGCUGACUAUAGGAGAAGCCUGAACGGGCAGGCAGACCACGCGGGUCCACCGCCUUAGAGCUGUGGACAGUCUUUGUACCUCAUUGAGCCUCAGUGUCUUCAUCUGCAAAAUCACCCUGCCAUUCGGGGAGUAAGCUGAGAUACUCUAGUGAAUGUGCCUGAGAGUCCACGGUUGUCCAGAGCAUGUUCAUCGAUUCACUUUUUCAUUGGUUUCUUCUCAAUCAGCAAGGCAGAAGCACUGAUCCUUGUCCAGUCUCCAGAAGGCUUUGCUGUUUGUCUGCCUUUGUAGAUAGCCUUUUUCUUUUUUUCUUUUGAACAGAAAAAGAGCGCAAGCAGAGGAGAGGAGAGGAGAGAGAGAAUCUUAAGCAAGCUCCGUGCUCAGCGCAGACUCCAACGUGGGGCUCGAUCCUAUGACA